GAUGAACGCUGGCGGCGUGCCUAAUACAUGCAAGUCGAGCGAACGGACGAGAAGCUUGCUUUUCUGAUGUUAGCGGCGGACGGGUGAGUAACACGUGGAUAACCUACCUAUAAGACUGGGAUAACUUCGGGAAACCGGAGCUAAUACCGGAUAAUAUUUUGAACCGCAUGGUUCAAAAGUGAAAGACGGUCUUGCUGUCACUUAUAGAUGGAUCCGCGCUGCAUUAGCUAGUUGGUAAGGUAACGGCUUACCAAGGCAACGAUGCAUAGCCGACCUGAGAGGGUGAUCGGCCACACUGGAACUGAGACACGGUCCAGACUCCUACGGGAGGCAGCAGUAGGGAAUCUUCCGCAAUGGGCGAAAGCCUGACGGAGCAACGCCGCGUGAGUGAUGAAGGUCUUCGGAUCGUAAAUCUCUGUUAUUAGGGAAGAACAUAUGUGUAAGUAACUGUGCACAUCUUGACGGUACCUAAUCAGAAAGCCACGGCUAACUACGUG
rnacentral:rRNA from 1 species